rnacentral:lncRNA from 1 species
UAGCUUCGUAGAUAGUGCCCUACCACAGAGACCAGAGUUUGUUGUACCCCGAGUCGACAUAUCCUAGGGGUAUAGAGAUGAAAAGAUUAAUAUAUUGAAUAAAUGAAAAGAACAAGAUGUACUAUACUUGUAAAUAAUGAUGUAGUAGCUUAGAUUGCAUUUGGUUGGAAGUAAAAGAAAAUGUAAUUGAGAUGUAAAAUGCGUAAAUGUGAAUUCUUGUAAUAAAUUAGGAUGUGUUUAUAUUGUUGAUACCUUCCAUUAUGCAAUCUGUAUGUUGAAUUCUGUUCCUGGUUGGAACAUCUUGAAUUGUAUCGAUUGCGACGCCUAGGAUGUACAGGG